CGGGUGAAAGGUCGAGCGUCAGCCGGCCCGCCCCCUGGCGCGCGGGCGCGCCGGACCCGCAGAGAUCUUUCCGUUUCGGAAGCUCUUGGUGUGGCUGCGACCCCAGAGGAGAAGCUGGGCUCGUGGGGCUGCUGCCACCGUCACAGGAAAUAAGUAAACCAUGGUGCUCAACAGUUUGGAUAAGAUGAUUCAUCUCCAGAAAAACACUGCCAACAUCAGGAAUAUUUGUGUUUUGGCUCACGUUAACCAUGGAAAAACUACUCUGACUGACUGUCUUAUAUCUAGCAAUGGAAUCAUCACCAGCUGCCUAGCGGGCAAGGAGGGCAGGAGAUCAGACAGAAGUGACCCAGGCUCCCCUGUUUACCUCAACCUCCUUGUGAAGCCUCCCUCUUUGUGCCUGUGAGAUGGGGUUUUGCUCUGUCAUCUAGGCUGGAAUGCAGUGGCACGAUCAUAGCUUACUGCUGCCUCAAACUCCUGGGCUCAAGUGAUCCUCCCACCUCAGCCUCCCAAAGUGCUGGAAUUACAGGCCCGAGCUCUACGGAGCCUGGUUUUAAAUCUUAAUAAAUAUCUCCUCGUGGUCUGCUUCCCUGGCUGAUACACAGCCUGACAUCUUGCACCUAGACAGACAUGUGUCUGGACUUGGUUCCAUUUGUUCUGAUAGGCUCCUCUCUCUCAAUGACCACACGUUAUAGCCUGUGGUUAUUCUUACACAUUUCUGUAUAGACCUGAGGGUUAGUGUAUUAAUGUCAAAAUUCUACUAGUUUUUUGACGCUGGAUGGAAUGUCUGGGUUAAUUUAGGAGUGGGCAUCUUGACAAUAUAGGCUUUUCCUCCAGGAAUGGUGAUUCUGGGACACAGGUUUUGCACAUUCUGGUUUAUUGCUUGGCUCGCUGCCACAGAGGGAUGGUACUGCUCCACACGCCAUGCCCAAGAGAUGUCCCAGCUUAUCUUUCUAAAUCAAGCUGAAUGUUCUCAGCUGACAGGACAUCAUAUCAGUGCUGCGGGGACUCACUCACCCCAACCUGAGAUGAAGUGAGGUUGAGACUAUGGAACAGAUCCGUGCUGAGUGCAUUCACUGUUCCUGACCCACACUGCUGCUGGCCGGGGCUGUGUCUGAGCCGACAGAGGGCAUUGAUUUGGGGACGGGGUAGGAGGUGGUGCUGGAGAGAUGCCCCUCACCUCCCUCAGCUCCUUCUGUCCACCCAACACUUGGUCACCAAGGCCCCUGACUUCCAGGCCCCAGUCACCACUAACAGGGUGCUACAUGGGAACAGAAUGUAGGCACAGAACCUGGAGUUCAGGUCACCCCUCCUUCCAGUGAAAGCUUCUGUACCUCCCAGGUGAUUCCAGCGUUAUUCCUCCAUGGGCCAAAUAUCCUAAGCAAAGGCCUGGACAGGGGGUCUUUAUCCAAGUGCCCAAAAAAACACUGGCAGAAAGACUCUGCAUGCCCCCUGUGGCCUGCCAGAAGUAAGAGCCUCUCCUUCAAAAUGCACAAUCCUGGUUCUUGCAGGGAGGUGUGGAGGGGUGGAAGAAACGGUCUAUCUCAUUCUUUCAGCAGGAACCAAAUCUUGGGAAACCCAGACCCAGUAUAUUUCUUAAUGAUCCUGAUACUUUUAUAACUGGUUACAGCGGGUUCACAUGCACAACUGUUUUCCAACAUCUUACAACAGGCCACAUAACACCCUGUAAUGUAUUUUUUAAUUUUUUUUCUUUUUUUGAGGCCAGGGGCAGUGGCUCAUGCCUGUA